AUAGCUGAAAUGAUAGCAGUAGGACCACCGAAAUGUAAGGAAUAAAUGAACAAGAUAACUGCCCCCAAAGCCAGGAAGACAUGAAACCUAUGAAUCAUGAGGAAGAAUGUCUGAGAAAAAGGAAGACUAGACAGCUACAAAACUCACAAGAAUGGCCAGCACCCAAGGCUGCCUGAAUGUCCACCAUGUCCAAAUCUUGAGAAAACACAACAAAAAGAAUGGCAUGGCAGAUCUGAAAAGCCUGGUUAUAACUGAGGCCACUCUACCCAUUUUACAGAUGAGGAAGCUGAGGGCCAAGAAGAGAGACUUGUCAGGCAUUACACUCAAGCUAGGUGGCAAAGCUGAUCUCAGAACCCAGGUCUACUGACUCCCUAGCUAAUGCUCUUGUGUUUAUUAGCCCCGUCACCUCCAACCCACUCCCAACACAGGCCAUAAACUCCUAGAGAGCAGAAAGCAUUGUGUAAUGGACCAAACGGUGUGUACAGGACUAACCAGACACCCAACACAACCAGCUCGUGGAGUAUCUGCAACUCAUCCCAUGAAAAUAUCAGCAUGAAGACGAGACAUGGCUUGGGCCAACUCAACUCAUCAUCAGCAUCCAAUUAAACCAGCCACAAGCAUGUCAUCUGACCAUGGGCAGAAUUACAACCCAGAAAACAAUUCUUGGCAGACACAUCUUAACACACAAAAAGCAACACGCAACAAAAUAGAUGAAGAAAUGAUGCAAAGAAAAGACAUGCUCAGCCAGAAACGCUUCCACAUCAAGGGUGAAGACAGCAGACAACCCCAGAUCAUCUCUGUGCAGUGGCUGGGACUUCAUGGACAGAACCCCCAACCACGACCACCUCCCGCAAGACCCUCAUCCCCAAGAAGCGUGAAGACUAUUGGGAUUCCCUUUCAUUGACAAAGACCAAUAGAGAAACUUCUGGAAGAAAGGGUUUUAUGCCACAAAAGUUGAAAGGAAGCUUUUAAUGA